rnacentral:rRNA from 1 species
ACCCGCUGAACUUAAGCAUAUCAAUAAGCGGAGGAAAAGAAACCAACAGGGAUUGCCCUAGUAACGGCGAGUGAAGCGGCAACAGCUCAAAUUUGAAAUCUGGCGUCUUUGGCGUCCGAGUUGUAAUUUGCAGAGGGCGCUUUGGCAUUGGCAGCGGUCCAAGUUCCUUGGAACAGGACGUCACAGAGGGUGAGAAUCCCGUACGUGGUCGCUAGCCUUUACCGUGUAAAGCCCCUUCGACGAGUCGAGUUGUUUGGGAAUGCAGCUCUAAAUGGGAGGUAAAUUUCUUCUAAAGCUAAAUACCGGCCAGAGACCGAUAGCGCACAAGUAGAGUGAUCGAAAGAUGAAAAGCACUUUGGAAAGAGAGUUAAAAAGCACGUGAAAUUGUUGAAAGGGAAGCGCUUGCAGCCAGACUUGCCUGUAGUUGCUCAUCCGGGUUUUUACCCGGUGCACUCUUCUAUAGGCAGGCCAGCAUCAGUUUGGGCGGUUGGAUAAAGGUCUCUGUCAUGUACCUCUCUUCGGGGAGAACUUAUAGGGGAGACGACAUGCAACCAGCCCGGACUGAGGUCCGCGCAUCUGCUAGGAUGCUGGCGUAAUGGCUGU